UGCCAGCAGCCGCGGUAAUACGGAGGGUCCAAGCGUUAUCCGGAUUCAUUGGGUUUAAAGGGUCCGUAGGCGGGAAGAUAAGUCAGUGGUGAAAUCCUGCAGCUCAACUGUAGAACUGCCAUUGAAACUGUCUUUCUUGAAUGUAGAUGAAGUGGGCGGAAUGUGUCAUGUAGCGGUGAAAUGCAUAGAUAUGACACAGAACACCGAUUGCGAAGGCAGCUCACUAAACUAUUAUUGACGCUGAGGGACGAAAGCGUGGGGAGCGAACAGGAUUAGAUA
rnacentral:rRNA from 1 species